rfam:Drosophila ficusphila unplaced genomic scaffold scf7180000452523, whole genome shotgun sequence
GGCAUCAGUUUUCAAGAUGGAGGAACCUGAACUGUCGUCCCGGUUUUCCUCCAAAACGGACGCUUCACUGGCAACACGUGUUUCUG